AUUGAACGCUGGCGGCAGGCCUAACACAUGCAAGUCGAGCGGGGUUUUCGGACCUAGCGGCGGACGGGUGAGUAAUGCGUAGGAAGCUGCCCGAUAGAGGGGGAUACCAGUUGGAAACGACUGUUAAUACCGCAUAAUGUCCACGGACCAAAGUGUGGGACCUUCGGGCCACAUGCUAUCGGAUGCGCCGACGUGGGAUUAGCUAGUUGGUGAGGUAAUGGCUCACCAAGGCGACGAUCUCUAGCUGGUUGGAGAGGAUGAGCAGCCACACUGGAAAUGAGACACGGGCAAGAAGCCGACGGGGGAAGCAGGGGGGAAGAGGGGACAAGGGGCGAAAGCCUGAGCCAGCCAGGCCGCGGGGGGGAAGAAGGCCGGAGGGGGGGAAAGAAAGGGAAGAGAGGAGGAAGGGGGGUGGGGUAAGAGAAAAGAAGGGGGAAGGGAAUAGCAGAAGAAGCACCGGCUAACUCUGUGCCAGCCGCCGCCGUAAGAC
rnacentral:rRNA from 1 species